AAGCAGGCUUCUGUGCGCAAAUACUAAAUUACUGGUUCUUCCGCCCUCAUUAGGGUACCCUCCUCCUCACGAGGACCCUACUAUAAUCACCAGUAUGGGUGGGACCUCCCCUAAUUGGCCCCCAGUACCUUCCCCUCAGCUGUAGUUUCCUACUGUUUUCCUUUAGCUACCUGAUGCUGGGUCUUUCUUGCCCUCCAGAAGAUCCUCUUUGUUAAGAUAACCCAAGUCUCACUUCUUGCCCUGGGUCCUCACCUGUUCACACUUUAACCCUCCACCAGUAGGAGCACAAUUUCUCCACCCUACCUCCUCAUCUCACUCUGCCAACUCUACUCAGAACAAAUCAGGUACAAGUCACAACAGCCCUGAAACCCCAAAGGCUUCCUCACUUGGCUUACAACCCUAGGGGAGCAAUCUCCCUACCCUCAGGAAGAUACACGGACAACCCUCUCUCCAAAGAAUUCUCACUGUCCAUACCCAGGGUGAAUUCUCUACCCUCUUCACCUCACCUGGAGCACAUCAGGAGCUAAUGCUGGCAAUACCAUAAUCUCUUAACAAAUGCCACACUUGUUUCAGCAUCUCCUGAGGAAGUAGGGACAUUUGUCACCUGUCGUAGUAUUCUGAGGAGACAGCUAGAAAGUCACAUUUAAAAUCCUGUUACAAACUACUCAGACUCUAAGUUGCAAGGGAAAAGACUCACUCAAUUCAUCUUAAUUAGUGGAGGUUGGAGAUAAGGAUACCCCCAGAGAUAAGAAACACUAAAAUACAAUGGCAGCCCAAGGGCAACCACCCUAGACCUCGAAAUGACUAUUUGGCAGCUCAGAGUGUAAAACAGACCCAAUGACCAGACAUGUUUAUCACCCCCUUAGCAAAGGACUUCUGGGACUCCCCUGACAUAGGGACAGAGCAACCUCUCUGUUUCUGCUACCACCCCUCCUUUUGCUCCCAUCCAUAUAGGCCUGCUCCUGCUCUGUUCCAUGGAACACAAGUGUCAUAAAAAUAUGUUAACAGGUGAGAGUUCAGUCAUCCAAUAGGUCUAGAAAACACUGAGUUAAUAUUAAGAGUGUAAAACAGACCCAAUGUCUGUCUAGUGUCUUUCUGUAAGAUUAGUAAUUCUUUAUUGUGCCAAAGCAUUGUGGAACUCUCCAGAAGGGGAACACGGAUGUGGUAUUUCCCAAAUGUGCUUGCCUAGGAAACCCC
rnacentral:lncRNA from 1 species